rnacentral:rRNA from 1 species
GACGAACGCUGGCGGCGUGCCUAACACAUGCAAGUCGAACGGAGUUGUUCCUUCGGGGACAACUUAGUGGCGAACGGGUGAGUAACGCGUGAGAAACCUGCCUUUCAGUGGGGGACAACAGUUGGAAACGACUGCUAAUACCGCAUAAUGUUAUUUGGGGGCAUCCCUGAAUAACCAAAGAUUUAUUGCUGAAAGAUGGUCUCGCGUCUGAUUAGCUAGUUGGUGAGGUAACGGCUCACCAAGGCGACGAUCAGUAGCCGGUCUGAGAGGAUGAACGGCCACAUUGGGACUGAGAUACGACCCAGACUCCUACGGGAGGCAGCAGUGGGGAAUAUUGGGCAAUGGGCGAAAGCCUGACCCAGCAACGCCGCGUGAAGGAAGAAGGCCUUCGGGUU